UACGGAGGGGGCAAGCGUUAUUCGGAAUUAUUGGGCGUAAAGGGCGCGUAGGCGGCUAGAUGUGUCAAAGGUGAAAUCCCUCGGCUCAACUGAGGAACUGCCUUUGAAACUGUCUGGCUUGAGGCCGGGAGAGGGUAGCGGAAUUCCCAGUGUAGCGGUGAAAUGCGUAGAUAUCUGGAGGAACACCGGUGGCGAAGGCGGCAUCCUGGACCAAUAUUGACGCUGAGGAGCGAAAGCCAGGGGAGCAAACGGG
rnacentral:rRNA from 1 species